CUUUACUUUCAGUAUGUCUGGACGUGGCAAGCAAGGGGCCAAAGCUCGCGCCAAGGCCAAGACUCGCUCCUCGCGGGCCGGGCUCCAGUUCCCCGUGGGCCGAGUGCACCGCCUCCUUCGCAAGGGCAACUACUCCGAGCGGGUUGGGGCCGGCGCGCCGGUGUACCUGGCGGCGGUGCUGGAGUACCUGACGGCCGAGAUCCUGGAGCUGGCGGGCAACGCGGCCCGCGACAACAAGAAGACGCGUAUCAUCCCGCGCCACCUGCAGCUGGCCAUCCGCAACGACGAGGAGCUCAACAAGCUGCUGGGUAAAGUCACUAUUGCUCAGGGCGGCGUUCUGCCCAACAUCCAGGCGGUGCUGCUGCCCAAAAAGACCGAGAGCCACCACAAGACCAAGGGCAAGUAGAAGGGCAAAUGUCCAUCAGACAAAAAACAGCACCAUACGACUUUGGCCUACCUUCCCUUCUAAUUCAAUUCAGUCUUACUGCGCACCACACACCCUCCGAAAUGGGAAUAGAGUAGUAAUCCAGACAGGUGGUCCAGUGGUAAAGAAUCCGCCUUCCAAUUGAGGGGACGCGGGUUUGAUCCCUGGUUGGGGAACUAAGAUCCUACAUGUCACAUGCUGCUGGACAACUAAGCCCGCGCGCCGCAACUAGAGAGAGAAAACCGGCACGCCACAACUAGAGAGAAACCCGCGCGCCGCAACGAAAGAUCCGGAGCACCGCAACUAAGACCCAACGCAGCCAAAAAAUAAAAAUAGAUAAAUAAAUUAAAUAAAUUAAAAAAAGAAAGUCAUCUGCAUUACUUGAGUUUGUAUAUUUUAAACAAAUAUAUCUCAGAAGUAGAACUGUCAAGUAGAGUAAAUGAUACAGCUCCAAGGAAGGCCUAUGAGUUCUUUCAAUUUUUAAUAAUAAAAUAUGCUGUUGUUAUUGUUAUUGAUAUUGAUCAUGCAAUU